UACGAAGGGGGCUAGCGUUGUUCGGAUUUACUGGGCGUAAAGCGCACGUAGGCGGAUCGUUAAGUCAGGGGUGAAAUCCUGGGGCUCAACCCCAGAACUGCCUUUGAUACUGGCGAUCUCGAGUCCGGAAGAGGUGAGUGGAACUCCUAGUGUAGAGGUGGAAUUCGUAGAUAUCGGGAAGAACACCAAAGGCGAAAGCGCUCUGCUGGGCCGAAACUGACACUGAGAGACGAAAGCUAGGGGAGCGAAUGGG
rnacentral:rRNA from 1 species